AUACGUAGGGUGCGAGCGUUGUCCGGAAUGACUGGGCGUAAAGGGCGUGUAGGCGGCCGAUUAAGUCUGGAGUGAAAGUCCUGCUUUCAAGGUGGGAACUGCUUUGGAUACUGGUUGGCUUGAGUGCGGAAGAGGUAAGUGGAAUUCCCAGUGUAGCGGUGAAAUGCGUAGAGAUUGGGAGGAACACCAGUGGCGAAGGCGACUUACUGGGCCGUAACUGACGCUGAGGCGCGAAAGCGUGGGGAGCGAACAGGAUUAGAUACCCUGGUAGUCCACGCGGUAAACGAUGAAUGCCAGGUGUUGCGGGUAUCGACCCCUGCAGUGCCGGAGUAAACACAAUAAGCAUUCCGCCUGGGGAGUACGGCCGCAAGGUUGAAACUCAAAUGAAUUGACGGGG
rnacentral:rRNA from 1 species